CGGACGGGUGGGUAAUGUCUGGGAAACUGCCUGAUGGAGGGGGAUAACUACUGGAAACGGUAGCUAAUACCGCAUAACGUCGCAAGACCAAAGAGGGGACCUUCGGGCCUCUUGCCAUCGGAUGUGCCCAGAUGGGAUUAGCUAGUAGGUGGGGUAAAGGCUCACCUAGGCGACGAUCCCUAGCUGGUCUGAGAGGAUGACCAGCCACACUGGAACUGAGACACGGUCCAG
rnacentral:rRNA from 1 species